UACGUAGGGUGCAAGCGUUGUCCGGAAUUAUUGGGCGUAAAGAGCUCGUAGGCGGUCUGUCGCGUCGGCUGUGAAAACCCGGAGCUCAACUCCGGGCCUGCAGUCGAUACGGGCAGACUGGAGUUCGGCAGGGGAGACUGGAAUUCCUGGUGUAGCGGUGAAAUGCGCAGAUAUCAGGAGGAACACCGGUGGCGAAGGCGGGGUCUCUGGGGCCGAUACUGACGCUGAGGAGCGAAAGCGUGGGGGAGCGAACAGG
rnacentral:rRNA from 1 species